UACGUAGGGUGCAAGCGUUGUCCGGAAUUAUUGGGCGUAAAGAGCUCGUAGGCGGUCUGUCGCGUCGGCUGUGAAAACCCGGGGCUCAACCCCGGGCCUGCAGUCGAUACGGGCAGACUAGAGUGCGGUAGGGGAGACUGGAAUUCCUGGUGUAGCGGUGAAGUGCGCAGAUAUCAGGAGGAACACCGGUGGCGAAGGCGGGUCUCUGGGCCGUAACUGACGCUGAGGAGCGAAAGCGUGGGGAGCGAACAGG
rnacentral:rRNA from 1 species